UAUAUAUAUAUAUAGCACUUUUUGUUUUUGUAAGCAUGCAAAUCCUUAUGAUCUGUGUGCAUGGGUUUUAUAUGAUGACAUGAUUGGUGAAGCUUGUGAAGAGGUCCCUCCAUCAGAAAUUACCAUUAAUGAAGGUGAUUCAGGCUAUAAAAAACAAUGUCCAAAGUCCAAACACUAAGAAAAUAGACGGUUGGGAUUGGUGAUUAUUUUGCUCCACAUACUACUACUGGGUCUCAGCCCUCAUUAGGGUGUUUUGGUGAAAAAAGAGCUAAAUGGAGAGCAGACAUGACUUUUCUAGGUUCUUUUGAUCUUGCUCCUAAUGAAUGCUGUGAUUCGAUUUAUCUCCAGGUUUUGUUGGAUGCCAUAGCUACAAUGGUCAGGGGUAUAACAUCCAAAUUAUGAUGUUAUGCAUAUAAAUUAUUUGAGGGAUGCUAAGAAGGAAUGCAGUUACUAGCUGGACUGUUACAGAAAUACUUGGGAAUAGGUUGGACGUACCUUAAUGGCUGAUGGUUGGACUGAUACCUCACAUAGGUUACUGAUUAAUUUUCUUGUCUACUGUCCUAAAGGAGUUUGCUUUCUUAAAUUAGUGGAUGCUUUAGAUGUGUAAAGGAUGCCUUUAAAUUGUUCAAAUUGUUUGAGGAAAUGGUUUUAUGGGUUGAACCUAAUAAUAUUGUCCAUGCUGUCACUGACAAUAGAGCAAAUUAUAAGAUUGCUGGAAGACUAUUGUCUGAGAACUAUAAGAGUAUUACUUCAUUGCCUUGUGCAACAGAUUGCAUAAAUUUGAUUUUAAAAGAUAUAGCUGAGAUGGAUCCUAUGGUUGAUCUUGCCAAACGUGCAUCUAAAGUGACGAAGUUUGUGUAUAAUCAUGCAGUUUUGUUGCUUGGUUGAGGAAAAGAUAGGGUUGAAGAGAAAUUGUAUGCCUCGGUGUAACCCCUUUUGCAAUAACUUUCAUUGCAUUGAGAAGUCUUCAUGAA